GUGGGUAUAACUCAUUGGUAGAGCCUGCUUAGCAUGCAUGAGGUCCUGGGUUCAAUUCCCAGUACCACCA
rnacentral:tRNA from 1 species